GGCCCCAUAGUCUAGUGGUUAGGACACUUGGUUCUCAUCCAAGAAACCCGGAUUCGAAUUCCGGUGGGGUCA
rnacentral:tRNA from 1 species